CCUACGGGGGGCUGCAGUGAGGAAUAUUGGUCAAUGGGCGCGAGCCUGAACCAGCCAAGUCGCGUGAGGGAGUACUGCCCUAUGGGUUGUAAACCUCUUUUGUCGGGGAGCAAAAGCCGGACGUGUCCGGCUGUGAGAGUACCCGAAGAAAAAGCAUCGGCUAAGUCCGUGCCAGCAGCCGCCGUAAUACGGAGGAUGCGAGCGUUAUCCGGAUUUAUUGGGUUUAAAGGGUGCGCGGGCGGAUUUUUAAGUCAGCGGUAAAAGCGUGGGGGGAAACCCCGUCCAGCCGGUGAAACUGGGGAUCUAGAGUGUGCGAGAGGUAUGCGGAAUGCGUGGUGUAGCGGUGAAAUGCAUAGAUAUCACGCAGAACCCCGAUUGCGAAGGCAGCAGACCGGUGCACAACUGACGCUCAGGCACGAAAGCGUGGGUAUCGAACAGGAUUAGAUACCCGAGUAGUC
rnacentral:rRNA from 1 species